rnacentral:rRNA from 1 species
AACGAACGCUGGCGGCAUGCCUAACACAUGCAAGUCGAACGAGACCUUCGGGUCUAGUGGCGCACGGGUGCGUAACGCGUGGGAACCUGCCCUUAGGUUCGGAAUAACUCCCCGAAAGGGGUGCUAAUACCGGAUAAUGUCUUCGGACCAAAGAUUUAUCGCCUUUGGAUGGGCCCGCGUUGGAUUAGCUAGUUGGUAGGGUAAAAGCCUACCAAGGCGACGAUCCAUAGCUGGUCUGAGAGGAUGAUCAGCCACACUGGGACUGAGACACGGCCCAGACUCCUACGGGAGGCAGCAGUGGGGAAUAUUGGACAAUGGGCGAAAGCCGGAUCCAGCAAUGCCGCGUGAGUGAUGAAGGCCUUAGGGUUGUAAAGCUCUUUUACCCGGGAUGAUAAUGACAGGACCGGGAGAAUAAGCUCCGGCUAACUCCGU